rnacentral:sRNA from 1 species
AACACCCACAAACAACGUCACGACGCAACGUGGUUAAACAGUACGUUUAUUAAAGUAACUGGGUGAACGACAUCGGAGCGGACUGCAAAUCGCAACGCUACUUUCUCGAGUGCAGAUACUCUUCGAGACGGCUAAACAACGUGUCCAACUCGCUGAGACCUUUCCGCGUGCCGUUAUCCGAUUUCCUUUCCGCCUCCUGAGACAGCCGACUAAUCACGGACUUAUCUCCGCAACCUAACAGAGGCUGGGAGCCCGACAAAAGUAAAACAGCGUGCUAUGAACACGUUGUUACCUCUGCGCGGACAGCGCCGCCACAGAGACACUUACGCAUUGCCGCAUGUCUUUGUAGAUGGAUUCUAGCGUCGAGCGCAUACUAUGCAAUUCCGUCUUAAGUCCAGGAUAGACGUGGUCGCCUGCGGGGAACACGAUCUCCAGAUACCGCCUCAACAACCAGUCCAUGACGCUGCAUCCCCAACAGCCUUUGACCACCGUACCGUCGAGCCACACGGAGUAGUCGUCCUCACGUUGCUACAAGAGGAAAACUACGUCACCCGACACGCGGAAAAGAAAGACCGUCGCAAUAAACCGUACCUACGUGACCUACCAACGUAGGUUUUACUCGAUGAAAGGUGACGCGGAGAUCUUGCAAUCUGGUCGCGUAAUCCUCCGGACGACACUGCGGCUUUGUAUUCUUUAUCAUCGUCGUCGUCGUCGUCGUCGCCGCCGGCUUCGCCUCCUCGGAAGCGCCUAGAAAAAAGACGAUCAGGACCAGAGAGGAAGAGACCAUCACCGACAGCAUCGCCGCAGCAUGCCGCCCCAAUCCGCCGCCCAACUGCGCGUCCCAGAUACCACUCGUAGACUGUCAGCCUCGCGAGGAGACACCGCGGACCGGGGAAACGGAUAAGUUUACGAACAGAAAUCUCAAGAGAAAGACGCUGACCCGGCAAGUACCGUCACGGAGACACGGUGGUUUUUAUUGAAUUUCCAGUGUAUCGAGCCACCGUGAUGCAGGUACGGUGGUUUUAUGUGAAGUGCCGCUAUCUAUAGGCGAUGUGUUCCCUGACGGUGUGUGUUUUUUGGGGAUAGACAACGUGGUUCUUGUACGUGGUUUUUACCCUGCUCAAUAAAGUCACGUUUUCCUUACACGGUGUUGUGUC